GAUGAACGCUGGCGGCGUGCCUAAUACAUGCAAGUCGAGCGAAUGACGAGGAGCUUGCUCCUCUGAUUUAGCGGCGGACGGGUGAGUAACACGUGGGUAACCUGCCUGUAAGACGGGGAUAACUCCGGGAAACCGGAGCUAAUACCGGAUGAUAACGAGAAGCGCCUGCUUCUUUUUUGAAAGUCGGUUUCGGCUGACGCUUACAGAUGGGCCCGCGGCGCAUUAGCUAGUUGGUGAGGUAACGGCUAACCAAGGCGACGAUGCGUAGCCGACCUGGGAGGGUGAUCGGCCACACUGGGACUGAGACACGACCCAGACUCCUACGGGAGGCAGCAGUAGGGAAUCUUCGGCAAUGGACGAAAGUCUGACCGAGCAACGCCGCGUGAGCGAUGAAGGCCUUCGGGUCGUAAAGCUCUGUUGUCAGAGAAGAACAAGUACCGGAGUAACUGCCGGUACCUUGACGGUACCUGACCAGAAAGCCACGGCUAACUACGUGCCAGCAGCCGCCGUAAAAC
rnacentral:rRNA from 1 species